rnacentral:tRNA from 1 species
GGGAGUACAGCUCAGUGGCAGAGUGCAUGCCUGGUGUGCACAAGGUCCUAGGUUCAAUCCCCAGUACCUCCG